CUCCGGCACCACACGAGCAGCCCGAGCGCCAGCAGCACCCAGCUGAAGCUCAGGCCCAGGCUAGCACAGUGCCUGGAAGAGCAGGUACUGAAUGAAUAACACACGUCUCUUCUCCCCUUAUCUUCAGGUCCGAAUGGAAUUACAGACUUACUCUCCCCACCACGGAGGAGGCAGUGGCAAGUAGAUUCUUCAGCCUGGUUAUAUUAGCAAAUAGAUGCAUACAUUGACGAUAAUGAAAGUCAGCUUUCUUGCUGUUGGAGAAGAUCUUACAAGCAUGGAAACGGAGAGGCCAGAAAGAACCUUGAUGUGAUGGAUUGGACUCAGAGGAGGAACCAGAGAUCUCUGGAAAAAUAGUUGACUUCAGGGCUGGAGCAGUGAAAAUACAAGAUAAGCCUGGAAUAUUUUGUUGUGCCAGGAGGUAAGAAAAUGCUCAAAGAAUCACGUAAUGUCAAAGGACAUGGGAGGCAACUUGAAGGGCUCUUGCUGAUUAAGUCUGGGACUAUCUGAGCAGCAGAAUCAAUGACAUUGGCAGAUUACAAGCCAGGGAGUAAAAUAGGAACCCAUGAGCCCACACUGAUGUAGAUGAAUGAGCGAGUGAUGAAUGCACAAAAAAAUAAGCCACUGGAGUCAAAGAAAUGGAAAUCCCCACUUAGCAGUCAUUGUAGCAUAAGAGUGAGUUAUCAACGGAGGCUAAGGACGGUAGGUGAGGUUUGAUAAGGAAUCAUGCUAGAAUACCUUCUACAAGAUACUUACCAAUUUAAGGGAAAGAGGAGCACAGCAGCAUUUCUGGGACAUUUUGCCAGAGAGCUUGAGAAAGCUUGACCCGAGUAUAGGGACUCGGGGGACAGAUGCCAUGUAGGGUCCCCAUGUUCUUACUGAGGACUUAGUUAUUCCAGAUUGCAAGAGACUGAAGAGCCACAACAACCACAUGCAACGUGUGUUCCUGUGUGGGAUCUGGGCUUUGGGGACAAUCUGUGGAACAAAGGGGUCUUUCGUUUGGACAGUAGAGUUGCAUCCAUGUUGACUUCCUGACUGGAGGAGGGUUGUGGAGCGGAGGCUGUCCCUGUUUUGGGGAAACAAACACUGGAGUGUUUCGGAGUGAUGAGUAAUCAUACCUGAAGUUCUUUGUCAAAGAAUUCAGGACAAGUCUAAUGAUCACAGGUAAGUGUGUGUGUAGACAGGUAAAUAACUGCUGGGUGACAGACAAGUGGAGCACGUGCUGGGUGGUUCGUGGUGGGAAUCUGGGCAACGAAUGGAGUGCUGUGUACUUGCAUAUUUUCUCUAAGUUUGAAAUUAAUUUGAAAGUCAUUUUUUAAAGUCCAUGAUCAAAUGGCCAAUUCAAAAUGCGGAUUUGAUUGAAUCUCUUCUGCGCUUGGUUUCCUUUGCUCCUAUUCAUGACAAACAGAGCUUGCCACACUUGACCCUCCUUCUUGCCUCGCCUCCCGACCUAGGGUCUGCACUGCUGCUCAUCCCUGCCAUACCCCGCUGUCACCUGUCUGUGCCUGUAUACCUGCUGUUCUCUGAGUCCGGACUACCCUUCUCUCUCUGUCCAUAUGCAAAACUCCGGUUCAUCUUUCAAAAAACAAUUUGUAUAUCCCCACCUCUGGGAAAAUUUUGUGAUAUUUCCCUCCUCGUGUUAAUCCUGUCUGUACCUUAUGCUCAUGAUUACACUUUUCUGCUGUAUACUGCUCAGCCCUUAGGAGCCUGGAGGCAGCUCUGUGCAUGUGACGGGGAGCCCUGAUAUUCUUGGGGGAAGUCCAAAUGAGGUGGUACAUAUUAGAACCCGCAACUGAAGCCAUCUAUCAAGUCACAAGCCCCAUGUCGGUUUCUGUCGCUAUUGAAGAUGAUAUUUGCGUGGCCUCACUGGGUCCUCCGCUCAGGUCUCAUGAGGUGAAACCAAGUGUUGGCUGAGCUGUGGCCUCCUCUGGAGACCUUCAGCUGAGACUCCUCCCAAGUUCAUUCAGGGUGUUGGCAGAUUUCAGUUCAGUGCAGCUGUAGGGCUCAAGUCCCUGAUUUCUGCCAGCUGGCAGCCAGGAGUCACCUUCUGUGUCUCCCACUUGCCCCUCCUUCGACCCCUCCUAGUGUGGUAGUUUGCUUCUUCUUCCAGGACAGUAGGAGUGUUUCUCAGAUGUAUCACCUUCUUUGGAAGUCAGGCCCACUCACGAAAACCUCCCUUUUGACCAAUUAGUCAACUGAUCAGUAACCUGACCAUAGGAGUAGAUCCCAUCACAU